GACGAACGCUGGCGGCGUGCUUAACACAUGCAAGUCGAACGGUGAAGCGCCUUCCUUUCUGGUGGGUGUGGAUGAGUGGCGAACGGGUGAGUAACACGUGAGUAACCUGCCCCCUUCUUCUGGAUAACCGCAUGAAAGUGUGGCUAAUACGGGAUAUUCUGGGUCUGUCGCAUGAUGGGUCUGGGAAAGAUAUUGUUUCGGUGGGGGAUGGGCUCGCGGCCUAUCAGCUUGUUGGUGGGGUGAUGGCCUACCAAGGCGGUGACGGGUAGCCGGCCUGAGAGGGUGGACGGUCACACUGGGACUGAGACACGGCCCAGACUCCUACGGGAGGCAGCAGUGGGGAAUAUUGCACAAUGGGCGCAAGCCUGAUGCAGCGACGCCGCGUGAGGGAUGGAGGCCUUCGGGUUGUGAACCUCUUUCGCCAGUGAAGCAGGCCUGCCUCGUUUGUGGGUGGGUUGACGGUAGCUGGAUAAGAAGCGCCGGCUAACUACGUG
rnacentral:rRNA from 1 species